rnacentral:rRNA from 1 species
GUGCUAAGGUAGCACAAUAACUUGUCUCCUAAUUUGAGAAUAGAAUGAAUGAAUAAACAAUAAGGCAACUGUCUCAUUAUAGAACAUAAAAAUUUAUACGGGGGUGAAAAAUCCCUCAUACAACAAAAAGACAAAAAGACCCUAGAAGCUUAUAAACAUUUAAUAAAUCCUACAUAAUGUUUUUUUGCUGGGAGGGCAUUAAGUAUAAUAAACACUUAAAACCAAAAAGAACCAUAUCAACCUACUUCAACCCCCAUAAGAAUAUAAGUAAGCUACUCUAGGGGUAACAGGCUAAUUCUCCUUAAGAGUACAUAUUGACAGGAGUGAUUGGCACCUCGAUGUUGGCUUAGGAAACUUGUUUUAUGCAGAAGUAAAAACAAGUGGUUUGUUCAACCUUUAAUAUCCUACGUGAUCUGGU